UGUUAUACAUUGAUGCAUAACAAAAAUAAAUUGUAUAUAUAAAUAUUAAUCCAUUAAAACUAAGCAUUUAUAAAUCAUGUAUUAUUGUUUUUAUUUUUAAAUUAAUUAAUGUUCAAUAGCUUGUUGAGCACAAAUUUUGUAUUUACUAUAUACCUCAAACAUGCUAAUAUUUUUUUAGAAUAUUAUGUACAAAAAAGUCAUUGCAAUAAAUCUCAAGUUAUUAAAGUCAGUGAACAAAUAAGUACUGAUAAAUAAUGCAGCAUUAGCUAGGAUUGUUCUUAGGUCACAAAACAAUCUUACAAAUAGAGUUUCUGCUGCUGUCACUGGUUUUAGAGAGUUCCUUCGUGAAUAAAGAUAAAAAGUCAUUUAUGUUAUUUUUUAAAAGCCAAGACAUAAUAUUGUUAAUCCUCAUACCAUUGACUAAAAAACUUUAUAAAUAUUGUUGCGAUGUUAUAAUUCAAAUUGUUGUAAUUAGUAAUUUUGAUCAUUUCAUUAUUAUACUGUAAAAAAUAUUUUUUAUUUAUAACAUUUAUUUCACAUAUAUUAAAAACAUGAGGAAUAAAUAUUACACUGAG